CAGAGUCUUCAGGAGACCAGAAACAGAGACGAAAAUAAAGACGGAGAGAAAAUCAGCAAGAGCACAGAACCAAGCAGAUUAAAACCGAUGUGUUGCAUGAUAAAGAUCAAUAACAGAAGCGGAUGAAGCAGAUGAAUGAUUAAACCGCUGCUCGCUGAUGUUUUUAAGGGGUUUUCACCUUUAUUGAUAAAACAUUGGAGAUUUAAAGACAGGAAAGUGUGGGGAGCACAGAGAGGGGAAGGAUCGGCAAAGGACCUCGAGCCGGGAAUCGAACUUGGGUCGCCGCAAGCACCUGGGAGCCACCAAACUAGGUCAGAGGUCACGGAGAGCUUGAGUGGAGCUGAGGACUUGAAGCAACUGUUUCUAUUCUUAUUUCUGCAUCUAAAAUGUCUAAAGUGAUUGCUGGAGCCAUAUUUAUUAUGCACAUUUUAGAAUAUUAUGUAUAGUUAUCAUUAUUUUUUAUUGCAUUUAUACUGUUUACAAUUAAAAGGAUGUUUAUAUUGUUAUUGCAUGCUUUGAUUAUGCCUUUGGUUAUUGAUGACUGAUCACGUCAUAUCCUUGUAAAGAGAGAAAGAGAUGGAGCGAUACAGUUUUUGACCGUCGUUCCAUAUUGUGUCGUUAUAUAAAGAUAAAAAGAUCCUGCUUUAAAGAACAAAUAAACACAAGAGAAGAAUAUAACGACUUGGAUGAGUUCGCAGCGUCAGACUGGUUACUUAAAAAGGGUCAUAUUUAAAGCUUGGAUAAUGUAGUGCCAUUAUAGUGAUUUUUCUAUUUGUACAGUUAAUUCUUUUAAGGUGAUUAUACUUUUUAUUCAAGAUAGAGUCUGUGUGGUGAGGAUAUUAUAACUGCCUGAAUGUAGAUUAUACCAGUUUUUAACCAGUUUUGAUAAAGACGUCUGAGAGUACACUCAGCAUUGGAUAAGAAACAGGUUAUACUUAAAGUGUGUGUGUGUUCUAUUUGAUUGUGGAUCUGUUUCACAGGUCUGGAGUCAGCUCUAAACAGUCUAGUGGAUGUCUGACGUAUGUGCUUAAGAUAUUGUUCGGAAUUGUGCGCACGCAGCCAUGUGGAAAUUUUUCCUUGUCUAUCUGUGUUUUAACCAAUCAGGUUAGAACACCUAUAUGUGUGACGCAGUUAUUGACGUGAUGUGCGAGUAGAAUUGUUAUUGAUUUGUGAUUGUAAGGAGAGCGGCCUAGGAACUCAUUGCGAGCGUUAAAGCUGGCUUCUGCUGAUGAAACUGCAAACUAUCUUUA